rnacentral:rRNA from 1 species
UUUAAUAUGAGAGUUUGAUCCUGGCUCAGGAUGAACGCUGGCGGCGUGCCUAACACAUGCAAGUCGAACGAAGAC